rnacentral:rRNA from 1 species
AUUGAACGCUGGCGGCAGGCCUAACACAUGCAAGUCGAGCGGAUGAAGGGAGCUUGCUCCUGGAUUCAGCGGCGGACGGGUGAGUAAUGCCUAGGAAUCUGCCUGGUAGUGGGGGAUAACGUCCGGAGACGGGCGCUAAUACCGCAUACGUCCUGAGGGAGAAAGUGGGGGAUCUUCGGACCUCACGCUAUCAGAUGAGCCUAGGUCGGAUUAGCUAGUUGGUGGGGUAAAGGCCUACCAAGGCGACGAUCCGUAACUGGUCUGAGAGGAUGAUCAGUCACACUGGAACUGAGACACGGUCCAGACUCCUACGGGAGGCAGCAGUGGGGAGUAUUGGACAAUGGGCGAAAGCCUGAUCCAGCCAUGCCGCGUGUGUGAAGAAGGUCUUCGGAUUGUAAAGCACUUUAAGUUGGGAGGAAGGGCAGUAAGUUAAUACCUUGCUGUUUUGACGUUACCAACAGAAUAAGCACCGGCUAACUUCGUG